UACAGAGGUCUCAAGCGUUGUUCGGAUUCAUUGGGCGUAAAGGGUGUGUAGGUGGCGCCGUUAGUCGGGUGUGAAAUUUCGGAGCUUAACUCCGAAACUGCAUUCGAUACUGCGGUGCUUGAGGACUGGAGAGGAGACUGGAAUUCAUGGUGUAGCAGUGAAAUGCGUAGAGAUCAUGAGGAAGACCAGUGGCGAAGGCGGGUCUCUGGGCAGUAACUGACGCUGAGGAGCGAAAGCGUGGGGAGCGAACAGG
rnacentral:rRNA from 1 species